AGAGUUUGAUCAUGGCUCAGAUUGAACGCUGGCGGCAUGCCUUACACAUGCAAGUCGAACGGCAGCACGGGGGCAACCCUGGUGGCGAGUGGCGAACGGGUGAGUAAUACAUCGGAACGUGCCCAGUAGUGGGGGAUAGCUCGGCGAAAGCCGGAUUAAUACCGCAUACGACCUAUGGGUGAAAGCGGGGGAUCGCAAGACCUCGCGCUAUUGGAGCGGCCGAUGUCAGAUUAGGUUGUUGGUGGGGUAAAGGCCUACCAAGCCGACGAUCUGUAGCUGGUCUGAGAGGACGACCAGCCACACUGGGACUGAGACACGGCCCAGACUCCUACGGGAGGCAGCAGUGGGGAAUUUUGGACAAUGGGCGCAAGCCUGAUCCAGCCAUGCCGCGUGUGGGAAGAAGGCCUUCGGGUUGUAAACCACUUUUGUCAGGGAAGAAACGGUCUGAUCUAAUACAUUGGGCUAAUGACGGUACCUGAAGAAUAAGCACCGGCUAACUACGUGCCAGCAGCCGCGGUAAUACGUAGGGUGCAAGCGUUAAUCGGAAUUACUGGGCGUAAAGCGUGCGCAGGCGGCUUUGCAAGACAGAUGUGAAAUCCCCGGGCUCAACCUGGGAACUGCAUUUGUGACUGCAUGGCUAGAGUACGGUAGAGGGGGAUGGAAUUCCGCGUGUAGCAGUGAAAUGCGUAGAUAUGCGGAG
rnacentral:rRNA from 1 species